AUGAACGCUGGCGGCGUGCUUAACACAUGUAAGUCGAACGAACUUAUUGCCUUGUUUAGCAAUAGACGAGGUGGUAGGUUAGUGGCGCACGGGUGCGUAACACGUGGGUGACCUGCCCUGAAGUGGGGAAUAACUAUUCGAAAGGAUAGCUAAUACCGCAUGCGAUCAGCCAUUCGCUUGGCUGCUUAAAGGCUCGUAAGAGUCGCUUCAGGAUGGGCCCGCGGCCGAUUAGGUAGUUGGUGAGGUAAUGGCCCACCAAGCCGAUUAUCGGUAGGGGGCGUGAGAGCGUGACCCCCCACACUGGCACUGACACACGGGCCAGACUCCUACGGGAGGCAGCAGUGAGGAAUAUUGCGCAAUGGACGAAAGUCUGACGCAGCAACGCCGCGUGGGCUAUGAAGGCCUUCGGGUUGUAAAGCCCUUUUCUAGAGGAAGAGCGAGGACGGUACUCUAGGAAUAAGCCUCGGCUAACUACGU
rnacentral:rRNA from 1 species